rnacentral:rRNA from 1 species
GAUGAACGCUGGCGGCGUGCCUAAUACAUGCAAGUCGAGCGAACGGACGAGACGCUUGCUUCUCUGUUGUUAGCGGCGGACGGGAGAGUAACACGUGGAUAAUCUACCUAUCAGACUGGGAUAACCUCGGGACACCGGCGCUAAUACCGGAUGAUAUUUUGCACCGCAUGGUUCAAAAGUGAAAGACGGUCUUGCCGGCGGUUGGGGAUGGAUACGCGCUGCAUCAGCUAGUUGGUGGGGUAGAGGCUUACCAAGGCUAUGAUGGGUAGCCGGGCUGAGAGGGUGACCGGCCACAUUGGGACUGAGAUACGGCCCAGACUCCUACGGGAGGCAGAAGUGGGGAAUAUUGCACAAUGGGCGGAAGCCUGAUGCAGCAACGCCGCGUGCGGGAUGACGGCCUUCGGGUUGUAAACCGCUUUCGCCUGUGACGAAGCGUGAGUGACGGUAAUGGGUAAAGAAGCACCGGCUAACUACGUG